CCUACGGGUGGCAGCAGUGGGGAAUAUUGCACAAUGGGGGAAACCCUGAUGCAGCGACGCCGCGUGAGUGAAGAAGGAUUUCGUUUUGUAAAGCUCUUUCAGCAGGGAAGAAAAUGACGGUACCUGAGUAAGAAGCCCCGGCUAACUACGUGCCAGCAGCCGCGGUAAUACGUAGGGCGCAAGCGUUACUCGGAUUUACUGGGGGUAAAGGGGGCGUAGGCGGUGGGCCAAGUCUGGAGGGAAAUGCCGCAGCUUAACUGCGGAACUGCAUUGGAAACUGGCGAACUAGAGUGAGGGAGAGGUAAGCGGAAUUCCUAGUGUAGCGGUGAAAUGCGUAGAUAUUAGGAGGAACAC
rnacentral:rRNA from 1 species